GGAAGUAAAAGUCGUAACAAGGUCUCCGUUGGUGAACCAGCGGAGGGAUCAUUACUGAGUUUACGCUCUACAACCCUUUGUGAACAUACCUAUAACUGUUGCUUCGGCGGGUAGGGUCUCCGCGACCCUCCCGGCCUCCCGCCUCCGGGCGGGUCGGCGCCCGCCGGAGGAUAACCAAACUCUGAUUUAACGACGUUUCUUCUGAGUGGUACAAGCAAAUAAUCAAAACUUUUAACAACGGAUCUCUUGGUUCUGGCAUCGAUGAAGAACGCAGCGAAAUGCGAUAAGUAAUGUGAAUUGCAGAAUUCAGUGAAUCAUCGAAUCUUUGAACGCACAUUGCGCCCGCCAGCAUUCUGGCGGGCAUGCCUGUUCGAGCGUCAUUUCAACCCUCAAGCUCUGCUUGGUGUUGGGGCCCUACAGCUGAUGUAGGCCCUCAAAGGUAGUGGCGGACCCUCUCGGAGCCUCCUUUGCGUAGUAACUUUACGUCUCGCACUGGGAUCCGGAGGGACUCUUGCCGUAAAACCCCCAAUUUUCCAAAGGUUGACCUCGGAUCAGGUAGGAAUACCCGCUGAACUUAAGCAUAUCAAUAAGCGGAGGA
rnacentral:rRNA from 1 species